AUAUAUAUAUAUAUAUAUAUGAGUUUAGUAUAUAUGAUAAAAAUUUGAGGACGAUUGAGGGUUGGUUUGAGUGAAAUAAAAUUUUGAAUACGUGCUAUUUGGAUAUAUGGAUUUCUAGAUUUUAGCUACUGUAUUUUAAGUAAAAUAUACAGCUAGAGCACCCAGAAUUUUAUGAGUUUUGGUGGGAGUGUAAAGUCAUUAGAUUUGUUAAUGAUACUUAGCCAAGCAAUUUGGUUAAUAGAGAACCUAUAUAAAGUUUUCCUUCAAUUGUUAGACAAAGAAGUCAAUAAAAGAUUAUAAUUUAGAGGAAUGAGUAAAGAUCCCAUAAAGAAAAAAAAGCUAGAUAAUACGAGGGUAGAAGACAAUGGAUCAGUAGGAAUUAAAUUCUGUCAACUAUGAAAAAUCUUAGGAUUUUCUGUCGAAUAGUAGUUUUGAGUUAAGUGCAGGUAUUUUAUACAUGCUCUAUGCUUGGAAAGUGGAGUGGAGAGUUCAUUAACAACCUAAACAAAAAGGUAUAGACUAUAGGGUAUGACAUGCAUUUAAAUGACUUAGAACGAGGCGACAUAGAUGCUAAAACGACUUCAGAUAUGGAAUCCUAAUGUCUAAUUAUUUGACUUCAGUAUAAUAUGUAUAUAAACGAACACAUGCACAGCUGUAUAUACAUAGGUUAUGUAAAAAUAUUAGCCUAUUCCCUAAUGUAUUAGAGGAGUAUAGAAUAUAUGUAAAAAUGCAAAAAUGUAAAUUCUAGAAGUAUGUAAGUGAAUCAAAGAAAUGAUUGAGUAUAGGGAUGUAUAUUUGUAGGAUUAAAUUGAUCAGAUAGAUUGUGAAUCUGUUUCAAUAUUGAUUUAAGAAAGAUUUCAGAAAAGAGAAAACAAACAUAAUAGAAAACUUUAAAGAUUAGGUUUUAGACAGAGGGAGAGAUCAUGGGCUUUAAUUGCGCAUCAUGGAGGGGUGGUAAAGAAAUUGUUGUAGUUCGUCUGCAAGAGGUAAAGUAAUUAUGCCACUAAAGUUCUGAGAAGCUGUUUUGCAGCUAGAUAUUUUAAAAUAGAGGAUAGCAUUUUCAUCUGUUAAGAGAUAAAGUUGUUUUGCUGCUAGAAUUUUGAAAAGUUAUGGUGCAACUAGAGAUUUUAAAUGCAUGGCUUCCCCGCUAAAGAUGUAAAGGAAGCUUGACCAUUAGAGGUUACAGAAGUUCCCUUUUGAAAAUAAAGGCUGAGGUUAGCCUCCAAAUAUGUUCCCCUUAACUCUAUGAUGGUGCAUAGGAUCUAAAGAUAGUGAACUAACUGUUCA
rnacentral:misc_RNA from 1 species